rnacentral:rRNA from 1 species
UUUCUUUGGAGAGUUUGAUCCUGGCUCAGGACGAACGCUGGCGGCGUGCCUAAUACAUGCAAGUCGAGCGGACCGGAUCGGAGCUUGCUCUGAUUGGGUCAGCGGCGGACGGGUGAGUAACACGUGGGCAACCUGCCCGCAAGACCGGGAUAACUCCGGGAAACCGGAGCUAAUACCGGAUAACACCGAAG